rnacentral:rRNA from 1 species
CCUACGGGUGGCAGCAGUAGGGAAUCUUUCACAAUGGGCGAAAGCCUGAUGGAGCAACGCCGCGUGCAGGAUGAAGGCCUUCGGGUCGUAAACUGCUUUUGUGAGAGAAGAUAAUGACGGUAUCUCACGAAUAAGCACCGGCUAACUACGUGCCAGCAGCCGCGGUAAUACGGAGGGUGCAAGCGUUACUCGGAAUCACUGGGCGUAAAGAGUGCGCAGGCGGGCUUGUAAGUCAGAUGUGAAAUCCUGUAGCUUAACUACAGAACUGCAUUUGAAACUAUGAGUCUAGAGUGUGGGAGAGGUAGGUGGAAUUCUUGGUGUAGGGGUAAAAUCCGUAGAUAUCAAGAGGAAUACUCAUUGCGAAGGCGACCUACUGGAACAUUACUGACGCUCAUGCACGAAAGCGUGGGGAGCAAACAGGAUUAGAUACCCCUGUAGUC